rnacentral:rRNA from 1 species
UCUUUGGUGAUUCAUGAUAACUAUACGAAUCGCACGGCCUUGCGCCGGCGAUGGUUCAUUCAAAUUUCUUCCCUAUCAACUUUCGAUGUUUGGGUAUUGGCCAAACAUGGUUGCAACGGGUAACGGAGGGUUAGGGCUCGACCCCGGAGAAGGAGCCUGAGAAACGGCUACUACAUCCAAGGAAGGCAGCAGGCGCGCAAAUUACCCAAUCCCGACUCGGGGAGGUAGUGACAAUAAAUACUGAUACAGGGCCCUUUCGGGCCUUGUAAUUGGAAUGAGUACAAUUUAAAUCCCUUAACGAGGAACAAUUGGAGGGCAAGUCUGGUGCCAGCAGCCCCCGUGCCCCCG